rnacentral:piRNA from 1 species
UAGUGUAAACUUAGCUUGGUUCCUCCCUUU